ensembl:lincRNA
CCGGGCACCCCGCCGGCUCCCGCCCGCGCCCCGCGCCCGCUUACCUGCCGGGGUCGCUCCGAAGACUCGCACCACCGGCACCUUCUUGACAAGGGCAUGGGUGAGGGGAGAUUGGCAGAUAUCCAGCCCCUGCAGCGGGCUGGCCAUGUAGAAGUCGGCAGUCACUAUCCUCAUUGAAAACAUGUUCGCCGCCGCCGCCGCCACCGCCUCCCCUUCACUAGCGACUCGACAGCGGCAGCGGCAGCGGCAGCGGCGGCGGCGGCUCUCUCCGCAGCGGAGGCCCCACAACAGCGGCGCGACGCCCCCUCCCCUCACACUCAGACACCGUGAGGAGCGGUGGCGGGCGGGGCGGUGUUGGUACUGCUGCUGCCACCUCCUCAGGAGGACCCGGCGAGGGGCAGCAGGAGAGAAACCCUCGCACUUUCGUCGGUGCUAGCGUUGCCGCCACUGCCGCCGCCGCCGGGGAUCACACGGGUUCCGCGGUCCCAGGCUGCAGCUCUUGUUGCCAUGAUGAUGAUGUCACGGACGCAACCACUGGGGGAGGGGAGAAGGGGGUUGUGUGUGUGGCGGAGGGAGGGCUGUGAGUAGCUGGGGGAGGGAACGCGGCGGGAAAGGGAGGGGAGCCGGACGGGCGCCCGAGCGGGACACCGAGGGGGCGCCAAGGGGGUGUUUUCUACCCGCCCUGGGGCACGCAGCAAGGGAAGAGGUAAAUGGAAGCAGGGCCCGCGCCCGGCGCGGGGUAUCGAUGACUCGGCCGGUGGGUACGGCCACCUGGGUUUGGGGCAGCGGAGAGAGCGGCGGAGCGCCGAUAUCAUGGAUGUGCUCCAAGGGGCUCGCGGGAGGAGGGCGCCAGUGUUCUGGGCCCUUUUGGCGGUUACGCGGGAUUGGCCGAAGCUGCGGCCCUCGCGCUCGCCUCGCCGACCGCCAUUUCACAUUCUUGCUUGGAGGAGGGGGCAGCGACGGAGAAGGUUUUUUACAAGGUGACCAUGCUUUGGGAUUUUCAUAGUGUGAGUAAUUCCUAUGGGUUCUGCCACCCAGCAAGUUAAAGAGGACAAGAUUCCUCCCAGGGGAUUAUGGUUCUGGGAAUGUGAGCAGCUUGUUUUCAUGAGAUCUGCACCUUGAUCUGGCCUACGAUUAGAAGCUGUGGUGGUGGUGAUUGUUUUGUUAUAGUUGUUGUUUCUUCCAUCUUACACAGAUUUUGUAACUUAUUUCUAAUAUAAGAUUUUUAAAAAGUAAAUGUUUUAUGAGGAAGUGUUUCUUAUACAAAGAAAAAUUAAAAUUAUUUUAAAGUAAUUACUUGUGUCAUAUUUUUCUCUUUCAAAAUAAAUAUAACUAUUAAAUGAUGUUGUUGUCUAGAGGGAAAAUGAAGACCCAAGGAUAUGGCUAUGCUCUUAAUGUUUUAAGAUAAGGUAAUACCAUUCACUGUUUGAAUGGAGCCUUCUAAGGAAUUACCACAGUGUCAUACACAGACAACUUAAAUGCAUUCUUUAUCUUUAAAAGGAAGCAGAAUAGGAUCAUUGAGUAAAUCACAUGAAUUCACAGGCUUUUCUGAUGUAAUCUUACUACACAAACACAUUAUUCUGUAGUCUGAAGGAAAAGGAACAUUUGAAGCAGGGCUUGCCCUUGAAGAGAUGUUUUUUUUCAAAGAGUAGUGCAGUGAAAGACCACACAGUAGCGAUAACAGAAAAUAUCUUCCAUUCCUUCCCCUACCUUUCAAUACUUUCUCAUUCUCCUUUGUUCUCUAAGGACAUCUGUUGUAAUGAUUAUUCAGUAAAACCCAUAGCAGAAGGUAUAUCAUAUUUCAUUUUUAAGUUUGUCUGAUAUAAUUAUUGCUCUCUUUUAUAUCAUGCCAUUGUGGAUUUUUUAAAUAUUUUGUUUAUAAAAGAUAUGAAAGUAUGGGGGACCCGAUGUGGCUCAGCAGUUGAGUACUGGCUUCCACAUACAAGGUCCCAGGUUCAAUCCCCAGCCCUGGUACCUAAAAACAAAAACAAAAACAUGAAAGUAUGUUCUAAAAAAUUUAUUAUCUGACUAGAUAUCUAAGAGUAGAUGUUUUAACUCUGAAUCUAAUAAAAUUGUAUUUUAGGAAGUCUAAUAGACUAGUUUAAUGUCGAUUAAACUACAUCUAGAUAAAUAUGAUAAACUGAAUUCAUUUUAACCAUUUUUCUUUUUUUACAUUAAUUGCAAAGGAUUUUUAGAUAUUUUAAAUAGAGGGAGCAGAUGUGGCAGUGGUUGAGCACCUGCUUCCUACACAGGAGGUCCAAGUUUCGGUUCCUGGUGCCUCCUAAAAACAAAUCAAAACCAAAAAAUUAACAAGGAAACAAGGGGAGAAAAACAGCUCAGGGGAGCUGAUGUGCUUCAGUGGUUAAGCGCCACUUCCCACAUACAAGGUGCUGGAUUCAAUCUGCAACCCCAGUACCUCAAAAUAAAUAAAAUAGAAAACUAUAAAGGUGGACAGUAUUAACAUGUUAUAUUUGAAAAAUAGAUGAAAAUAUAUUUAUUUUGCUUCUAUGCUUCUGAAAGUGCUAAUUCAAAGUAAAAUCUAAAAUUAAUUAACCUCUCCAGAGGUUUACAAAAACCCCUAUCUUCCUUUGAGCCAAAUUUAAUAAGAAUUGCCUCAAUUUGACUUUAUGUGAUAUAACGAUUUUUUUUUAAUGUCAUACUUCCACAUUUGAAAGACAGCCUUAAUUAUGAACAACAGUGAUGUGAGAUUUUGGAAGAGUCAGGUGUAUCAUUUCAAAUGUUUUCUGUAUUUUGAUAGCUGAUUUGUUGUCUAUAUUAUGGUCUGACUUCAAAAUUAAAGUUUUAGCUCUUAUUAUCAAGGGUUCUUAUAAAAUUAUUGCUAUAUAUUUCCCAAUUUUGCUCUAGGUUGAUGCUUUUCGUUUGGGGGAUUUUUGAAAUUUUUGUUUGAAGGUUCUUUUAACCUUUUAUUAAAAAUUUCAAGCAUAUACAAAAGUAGAACAAAUAGUGUGAUGAAGCCCCAAGUUAUGUUUGAGUUUUAAGUGAUAUGCUAGUACAGUUACUAUCUUUGUUUAUGCAACAGAUGUUCAGGAACUCAAGAAAUACUUGUUGCUUAAUACACUUGUAAAAAAAUUUGUGUAAAUCAAGUUUUUAAAAAUAUCCAACCAUCUCCCAACCUGUGAGCU